rnacentral:rRNA from 1 species
AUGGCGCCAGAGCUGUUGCCCAAACGCCGCUGUUGUCCGGACGCCACGGUAUCGUUGCCAGACGAGCUCAUCUUCAACAUCCUCUCCUGGGCGCCCUUGAAUUCCGUGUGUCGGUUUCGAUGUGCGUGCAGGAUGUGGCGUGCCGUCCUCUCCGACCCAGCCUUCAUCGCCACGCAUAGAUCUCGCCACGCGGAGCCGCUCCUUGUCGUUAGAUCCUCCCAGGAAAACCCGGGGAGAGGCCACGACCUGCGGCUGAUGGACAUGGACGGCAAUGUUGUCAGGGUGAUGAAAGGCAUAGGCGGCAUGGGGUCGCUCUCCACGAGCGUCGACGACCACGUCUGCAUCACCGACUAUCUCUCUGGUAGAGCGCAUGUGAUCAACCUCGCCAAAGGGGAGGUGGUCGUGGACUGCCCGAAACCAAAAUUGGAACAACACCACGUCUUUGGUUUUGGCCGUGUUGUACCAUCAGGCAAGUACAAGGUGGUUCGCCUCUUGUUGGGUCGGUCGUGCGACUACGAGGUCCUGACGGUAGGACACGGCGCCAGAUGGAGGCGGGUGCGGCCACCUCCCGCCGGUAUCUCCGAUGGACGGUGCUCCCCUGUUGCCGUCGAUGGCACCAUGUACUUCUUGAGCUCGGAUAGUCCAAGUGACGACGCAUUACUUCGCCUUGACCUCGAGAGUGAACAAUGGACGAAACCGCUGAAAGGCCCAAUGAACACGAUGGUCCCCCUGAGGUGGAAGAUGAGUGGGAUAGUUCGGAUAACCGAACUCAAUGGCUGUUUUUGUCUGGUUCAUCUGGGGGUGCACAUGACUGUAUGGCUCAUGACCGAAUCAGAAAAUCAGAAGUGGGUCAAGGCGUACACGAUUCCGGUGGAUCCGUCCACCAAGUAUUGUAUGCCACUCAGGGUGACAAGUGAUGGCGGGAAGUUGAUCUUUUUCUCUUCGUGUUACGGACAAGGCUCUGAACUCCGAGUCUACGAUCCUAGCACCGAGACAUGCACAAUGCGAUGGGCACUAGGCUGCCGUGGAGACACAGUUCGUCUUUGCAACCUGCAAUUGGGCCAUUUUGUCCGG